rnacentral:rRNA from 1 species
AGCAGCCGCGGUAAUUCCAGCUCCAAUAGCGUAUAUUAAAGUUGUUGCAGUUAAAAAGCUCGUAGUUGAAUUUCGGGGUUAGUAAGUUGGUCGUGCCACUGGUAUGUACUGGCUUUACUGAUUCCUCCUUCUUGUAGAACCGUAAUGCCAUUAAGUUGGUGUUGCGGGGAAACAGGACUGUUACUUUGAAAAAUUAGAGUGUUUAAAGCAAGCUAACGCUUGAAUACAUUAGCAUGGAAUAAUGAAAUAGGACGUUCGAUCCUAUUUUGUUGGUUUCUAGGAUUGACGUAAUGAUUAAUAGGGAUAGUUGGGGGCGAUUAGUAUUCAAUUGUCAGAGGUGAAAUUCUUGGAUUUAUUGAAGACUAACUACUGCGAAAGCAUUUGCCAAGGAUGUUUUCAUUAAUCAAGAACGAAAGUUAGGGGAUCGAAGACGAUCAGAUACCGUCGUAGUCUUAACCAUAAACUAUGCCGACUAGGGAUCGGAUGAUGUUAAUUUUUAAUGACUCAUUCGGCGCCUUAC